rnacentral:rRNA from 1 species
UACGUAGGGGGCGAGCGUUGUCCGGAUUUAUUGGGCGUAAAGAGCGUGUAGGCGGCCAGGUAGGUCUGCUGUGAAAACUCGAGGCUCAACCUCGAGACGUCGGCGGAAACCAUCUGGCUAGAGUCCGGAAGAGGAGAGUGGAAUUCCUGGUGUAGCGGUGAAAUGCGCAGAUAUCGUAAGGAAGACCAGUGGCGAAGGCGAAUCUCUGGACAGUUACUGACACUGAGGCACGAAGGCCAGGGGAGCAAACGGG